UACGGAGGAUUCAAGCGUUAUCCGGAUUUAUUGGGUUUAAAGGGUGCGCAGGCGGAUUUUUAAGUCAGCGGUCAAAUCGUGGGGCUCAACCCCAUCCAGCCGUCGAAACUGGCAGUCUCGAGUUGGAGAGAAGUAUGCGGAAUGCGCAGUGUAGCGGUGAAAUGCUUAGAUAUUGCGCAGAACCCCGAUUGCGAAGGCAGCCUGCCGGCCCCACACUGACGCUGAGGCACGAAAGCGUGGGUAUCGAACAGG
rnacentral:rRNA from 1 species